GAUGAACGCUGGCGGCGUGCCUAAUACAUGCAAGUCGAGCGAACAGAUGAGGAGCUUGCUCCUCUGACGUUAGCGGCGGACGGGUGAGUAACACGUGGAUAACCUACCUAUAAGACUGGGAUAACUUCGGGAAACCGGAGCUAAUACCGGAUAAUAUAUUGAACCGCAUGGUUCAAUAGUGAAAGACGGUUUUGCUGUCACUUAUAGAUGGAUCCGCGCCGCAUUAGCUAGUUGGUAAGGUAACGGCUUACCAAGGCAACGAUGCGUAGCCGACCUGAGAGGGUGAUCGGCCACACGGGAACUGAGACACGGUCCAGACUCCUACGGGAGGCAGCAGUAGGGAAUCUUCCGCAAUGGGCGAAAGCCUGACGGAGCAACGCCGCGUGAGUGAUGAAGGUCUUCGGAUCGUAAAACUCUGUUAUUAGGGAAGAACAAAUGUGUAAGUAACUAUGCACGCCUUGACGGUACCUAAUCAGAAAGCCACGGCUAACUACGUG
rnacentral:rRNA from 1 species